UUUCUGCCCUCUUGGAUGAGGAAUCUGAGGGAAGCUGGGAGCAGGCUGCAGAGGCUUCGGAGGCCAGCCUUUCGUCCAGUCCGUGGGAUUCUCCCGAAGAAGGGGAAGCCUCGCUGGACAAUGUCAGCAGCCUGGAGGAGGACUCCCUGGCCCUCAGUCUCUAAUUAAAAGAGACGCUUCCCCAGAUGCCUCUCCAGAAGGCAGAUCGGAGGAGGAUGAACCAGUCCCAGGCACAUCAGGAGGUGAGUUGGCCAAUGCCUCCGAGCAGCCAGCGGAGAGUGAUUUGGCUGAAGCACAGCUGCAGCAGGAGAGCCCUGAGACUUCCGGGCAGCUGCAGAUGGUUAGCUUUGAGCAGGAACUGCUUUCUGCACUAUCCGAGAACAACCAGGGAAGAGAAAAGGCAGGAGCAGCAAAGGGUGGUUCUUUCACUCACAGGAGGCAGUCUUGCCUUUCUUGAUGGGCUGCACCAGAAGCUGGCAAUUGAGCACAGCAGACAAAUGGAGGCCAUGCUGGGAACAAUGCAUUCAUGACUAGGGGGUUGGAGU